rnacentral:lncRNA from 1 species
GACAAACAAAUCUCUAUACAAAGAGUUCCGAUUUUCCAUUUUUGUUUUCCCCAGAAAAUUAACAAAGAAAAAACGGUGGCACCACCACCGCAAAAUAAAACUUUUUUUCCCGAUCACUUUUUCGCCGCCUUCUAUUUACAAUGCAAAUUACCCAAAUCAAAAUCACCAUCAAUAUCCGACCAACUCCGAUACCCACCCAACAUCAGGACCCGACCCGGUAGGAUCAAGUAGGUCAAGAGAAUUUUCCUCACUCAGCUUAGCGUACAUCCUUGUCCUCAAGUCUCUCCCGGAUUCCACUCUCUCCAUUGCAGGUUCGUCAAACGCAUUAUUGCUUUCCCAGAGCUCAAACUUACUGAGUCCGGACCGAGUCGGUGUACGAGUUGGAGUGAGAGGAGAGCCGGGUCGGAGCAUGGAGCUCCUUGGAGAAACAAAACAUGAUCCCCGAGAACAAGUAGUUCCCAUUUUAGCUUUACCAAACUGUAGAUUACGUACGGAAGAGGUGAGUUCACUUACCGAGUUAAGGUGAAGAAACAUAGUCUAAACGAUAGCGGAUAGGCGAGCCAAAGUAAUCCAUAUCACUUGACCCGGACCCGGACCCAUUCCCUCUCGGACUCUGCUGGGGUAAGACCCGUAGUUGCUCCGGCGUGUGAGCAAAAAAACAAACCCUCCGU